rnacentral:rRNA from 1 species
AUUGAACGCUGGCGGCAUGCCUUACACAUGCAAGUCGAGCGGCAGCGCGGGGGCAACCCUGGCGGCGAGCGGCGAACGGGUGAGUAAUACAUCGGAACGUGUCCAGUAGCGGGGGAUAACCUGUCGAAAGAUAGGCUAAUACCGCAUACGAUCUACGGAUGAAAGCGGGGGACCGCAAGGCCUCGCACUGUUGGAGCGGCCGAUGUCGGAUUAGCUAGUUGGCGGGGAAAAGCCCCACCAAGGCGACGAUCCGUAGCUGGUCUGAGAGGACGACCAGCCACACUGGAACUGAGACACGGUCCAGACUCCUACGGGAGGCAGCAGUGGGGAAUUUUGGACAAUGGGGGCAACCCUGAUCCAGCCAUGCCGCGUGAGUGAA